rnacentral:rRNA from 2 species
UGAGGAAUAUUGGUCAAUGGGCGAGAGCCUGAACCAGCCAAGUAGCGUGCAGGAUGACGGCUCUAUGGGUUGUAAACUGCUUUUAUGUGGGGAUAAAGUGCGUGACGUGUCAUGCAUUGCAGGUACCACAUGAAUAAGGACCGGCUAAUUCCGUGCCAGCAGCCGCGGUAAUACGGAAGGUCCGGGCGUUAUCCGGAUUUAUUGGGUUUAAAGGGAGCGUAGGCUGUCUAUUAAGCGUGUUGUGAAAUAUACCGGCUCAACCGGUGGCUUGCAGCGCGAACUGGUCGACUUGAGUAUGCAGGAAGUAGGCGGAAUUCAUGGUGUAGCGGUGAAAUGCUUAGAUAUCAUGACGAACUCCGAUUGCGCAGGCAGCUUACUGUAGCAUAACUGACGCUGAUGCUCGAAAGUGCGGGUAUCAAACAGG